CAGCCGCCGCGGUAGUACGAAGGGUGCAAGCGUUACUCGGAAUUACUGGGCGUAAAGCGUGCGUAGGUGGUGGUUUAAGUCCGUUGUGAAAGCCCUGGGCUCAACCUGGGAAUUGCAGUGGAUACUGGGUCACUAGGGUGUGGUAGAGGAUAGUGGAAUUUCCGGUGUAGCAGUGAAAUGCGUAGAGAUCGGAAGGAACAUCUGUGGCGAAGGCGACUAUCUGGGCCAACACUGACGCUGAGGCACGAAAGCGUGGGGAGCAAACAGGAUUAGAGACCCGCGUAGUCCCUGUCUCUUAUAC
rnacentral:rRNA from 1 species